rnacentral:rRNA from 1 species
GCAUGGCUGUCGUCAGCUCGUGUUGUGAAAUGUUGGGUUAAGUCCCGCAACGAGCGCAACCCUUAUCCUUUGUUGCCAGCGAUUAGGUCGGGAACUCAAAGGAGACUGCCAGUGAUAAACUGGAGGAAGGUGGGGAUGACGUCAAGUCAUCAUGGCCCUUACGACCAGGGCUACACACGUGCUACAAUGGCGCAUACAAAGAGAAGCGACCUCGCGAGAGCAAGCGGACCUCAUAAAGUGCGUCGUAGUCCGGAUUGGAGUCUGCAACUCGACUCCAUGAAGUCGGAAUCGCUAGUAAUCGUGGAUCAGAAUGCCACGGUGAAUACGUUCCCGGGCCUUGUACACACCGCCCGUCACACCAUGGGAGUGGGUUGCAAAAGAAGUAGGUAGCUUAACCUUCGGGAGGGCGCUUACCACUUUGUGAUUCAUGACUGGGGUGAAGUCGUAACAAGGUAACCGUAGGGGAACCUGCGGUUGGAUCACCUCCUUACCUUAAAGAA